rnacentral:lncRNA from 1 species
GAGACAAAGACUUUGACUGGCGGACCAGGUGGAAUAAGAGGAAGAGGAAGAAGAAACCGGCCAGCACAGGGCCAUGCUCUCUGCUUCCUGGCUGCUCUGACGAAGCUCCUUUCUUCCAGGGCUUCCUCCUGCCAUGAUGGCUUGUCCCAGUUCCAGAAGCACAGACACCUGACCAGCAACUGAAACCUUUGAGACAACCGGGAGCCACACAAUGGAAAGCUCGGCUUCUAAAUCAGACCUCCAAGUCCUGAUAUCCACUCCUGCCUCAUGCACUGAAAGGAAAUAAAACUGUGAUUCAUGUAAUGUAUGUCAAAUAGCCCAAAGAGUUGUUUGUGAGCUUUGAAACCUGGGGCUGAGAACAUAGCAGAACAGACCAGGACAUGCCCGGGCAGGCCCAUCGUCUCCCUAUCUCCCACCCCUCUGACCUAAGUUAAAUGUUACAGGCUGCUGAUGUUUAAAUGGACCAAUCAUGUGAAACCACGCCAAUUCCUCCCCCAGCCCCACUCCUUUUCUAUAAAAACCCCUAGCUUCCAAGCCUCGUGGUCGAAUCCACUGUCUCCUGUGUGAGAUACGUUUCGACCCUGAGCUCCGCCAUUAAAAUACCCCGUGUUGUUACAUCAA